rnacentral:misc_RNA from 1 species
GUUCAAGUGGACAGUGGAACAAUUCGAGUACCUAAACAAUCUAGGGAAUUGUGAGUUUCGUGUUAUGGAAUUAGGCGCGGGUGGUGAAUAUAGCCUAGCAGUCCAUCAUACUGAUGAAGAGAUGCUAGAAUGGGGUAUGUCCCCUGAGAUGAUCGCUGACCAAAAAUGGCGAGCUAAUGCUAACAGGGGUACUUUGAAUGAUCAUUGCCCUUGGUACCUUGAUGCUUUCUUUGACCAUUUAGUGGAUUCAAAUGACAAAGAUGAUGAAGAUGUGAAGUCAAACAACUCGUAUCUCCCCUUAGCAUGACACCGUUAACAUUGCAUUCGUUCCAAUUCUGCUGUACUGUUCAUUUGGCUAACUGAUAGAAAUGUUUGUAAGCUCUUUUCAAGUUGUUGUUACAAUUUUAGGCCCGGAGGCAUUAUCAGUGUCAAUUUCUUGUAAAUUUGAAACUUCCA